rnacentral:rRNA from 1 species
GACGAACGCUGUUGGCGUGCUUAACACAUGCAAGUCGAACGGAAAGGCCCUGCUUUUGUGGGGUGCUCGAGUGGCGAACGGGUGAGUAACACGUGAGUAACCUGCCCUUGACUUUGGGAUAACUUCAGGAAACUGGGGCUAAUACCGGAUAGGAGCUCCUGCUGCAUGGUGGGGGUUGGAAAGUUUCGGCGGUUGGGGAUGGACUCGCGGCUUAUCAGCUUGUUGGUGGGGUAGUGGCUUACCAAGGCUUUGACGGGUAGCCGGCCUGAGAGGGUGACCGGCCACAUUGGGACUGAGAUACGGCCCAGACUCCUACGGGAGGCAGCAGUGGGGAAUAUUGCACAAUGGGCGGAAGCCUGAUGCAGCAACGCCGCGUGCGGGAUGACGGCCUUCGGGUUGUAAACCGCUUUCGCCUGUGACGAAGCGUGAGUGACGGUAAUGGGUAAAGAAGCACCGGCUAACUACGUGCCAGCAGCCGCGGUGAUACGUAGGGUGCGAGCGUUGUCCGGAUUUAUUGGGCGUAAAGGGCUCGUAGGUGGUUGAUCGCGUCGGAAGUGUAAUCUUGGGGCUUAACCCUGAGCGUGCUUUCGAUACGGGUUGACUUGAGGAAGGUAGGGGAGAAUGGAAUUCCUGGUGGAGCGGUGGAAUGCGCAGAUAUCAGGAGGAACACCAGUGGCGAAGGCGGUUCUCUGGGCCUUUCCUGACGCUGAGGAGCGAAAGCGUGGGGAGCGAACAGGCUUAGAUACCCUGGUAGUCCACGCUGUAAACGGUGGGUACUAGGUGUGGGGUCCAUUCCACGGGUUCCGUGCCGUAGCUAACGCUUUAAGUACCCCGCCUGGGGAGUACGGCCGCAAGGCUAAAACUCAAAGGAAUUGACGGGGCCCCGCACAAGCGGCGGAGCAUGCGGAUUAAUUCGAUGCAACGCGUAGAACCUUACCUGGGUUUGACAUGGAUCGGGAGUGCUCAGAGAUGGGUGUGCCUCUUUUGGGGUCGGUUCACAGGUGGUGCAUGGCUGUCGUCAGCUCGUGUCGUGAGAUGUUGGGUUAAGUCCCGCAACGAGCGCAACCCUUGUUCACUGUUGCCAGCACGUUAUGGUGGGGACUCAGUGGAGACCGCCGGGGUCAACUCGGAGGAAGGUGGGGAUGACGUCAAGUCAUCAUGCCCCUUAUGUCCAGGGCUUCACGCAUGCUACAAUGGCUGGUACAGAGAGUGGCGAGCCUGUGAGGGUGAGCGAAUCUCGGAAAGCCGGUCUCAGUUCGGAUUGGGGUCUGCAACUCGACCUCAUGAAGUCGGAAUCGCUAGUAAUCGCAGAUCAGCAACGCUGCGGUGAAUACGUUCCCGGG